AUAUUUAUGCUGCUUAUUAGAUUAUUAAAGACUAUAAAUACUAUUGUAUUAUAAAUUUCUCUGGAGAAGAAAAUUUUCAGGGAAAACUAGUGUGAAAAAGUAAUUCAUUCAUAUUUUUUUUAACCUGAUUUUAAAUUAAAUAAACCUCUUUCGGGCGUAUGCAUCUUUUGGUGCAGGUCACCCAUGUCCAACUUACAGACCUUAGGACAAUUUUGAGUACCGUCAUCCUAGCCAGGGUUCGUCGCAUUCAGGUAUUUUGCCCAACAGCGGACAAAUGUUAAAAAGCUGCACUCUAUGUCCAUAUGAGACUCUCAUCAGAGAGUGAGGACCUGAGUGCUGUUGGGGAGAGGGCGAUGAACAUUGUCAGGAGCUGAUUGAUCCCAGGUUCCCUGAGCAUCUUAGUACACUUGUAACACACUUGGCUCCAUGAGGUUCAGUCAGAGAAAUUGGAAUAAAGCAAGGCGUGCAUCAGGGGUGCAUUCUUUCUCCAAUGCUGUUAAAUAUAUAUUUGGAGGCCAUCAUUAACAAAGCAUUAGACGAUGAGACAAUUUGAGUAGUCAUUAUUGGAGUCCCUUUAAAUAUGCAGAUGAUACUGUUCUUUUUACAAAAAAUGUCCAUGACCUGCAGAGAAUAGUCUAGAAGGUACCUAAAUUGAAUGCACAACUGGCGAUUUCUGAUGUGGUCAUUGAAAGAGUGUACAGGUAACACAGUAACAGGUCCGGAAACCUGGAUAAAUUACAAUAAUGACUCA